AAGCUCGUAGCUCAGCUGGCAGAGUGUGCGCGUAUAAAGCAUUGGCGGCGUAUAUUCGUGGGUUUGAAUCCCACCGAGGCUG
rnacentral:tRNA from 1 species